AACCUAGCACACCUGCGGUGUGUACCUGCGGAAGGAUCAUUACAAGUGACCCCGGUCUAACCACCGGGGUGUUCAUAACCCUUUGUUGUCCGACUCUGUUGCCUCCGGGGCGACCCUGCCUUCGGGCGGGGGCUCCGGGUGGACACUUCAAACUCUUGCGUAACUUUGCAGUCUGAGUAAACUUAAUUAAUAAAUUAAAACUUUCAACAACGGAUCU
rnacentral:misc_RNA from 1 species